CUUUUUGCGAUCGUCUCUGCUUCUGUAUUCUCUCGGUUUUGGCUGAUGCUUGCAGGGUUUCUUUAUGUUGUGUUUUAGGAGGCAAUGUCGAAUCAGAACGACGAUGAAGAGGAAUAGCAGGAAAAAGGGUUGCAGUUUUGUCAAAGAAGCUGGGACUUGAUAAAAUUUGUCCAAAAUUUUACUUCCAUGCUUUUGGUCAUACAAGCAAGAAGGGUGAUGGCUAAGUUGGAAACUUCUACGAAAUUCAUAAAUGUUGUGGUUGUUGCUUUCCCAUUGGUGGUACCUUUUAUGAGCUCCACUUCAAGGAAAAUGACGUGUACAAUGAGAGGUGGCAGACUUCAUGGAUUAUCCCUGCCUUCUGACAUGCCUUAUUGUUCUCCAUUUUGUGUGUCAUAUGUGCACUUUGGGCACCAUCACAGUUUUCAACAGCGGUUUGUUACAUCAAAGAUAGCUUCCUGUGCUCAAGGUCAAGGGCCAUAUAAUGGAGUCUUUGCACAAUUGCAUCAAACCAUUGCCUUGGCAGAGAGAUGUAAGUGCCUUUCGGGAUGCAUUCCAUCUGUUAAGUUAUAGUACUGUGAUUUUAUAUGGAAGCUCUUUAGUUUUCUGUGUAUCAGUAGAGUUAACUAAAGUACUUUGUACUUACCACCCAAUAUCGUGACUGAACAAGUGAGAUGUAUGGGACUACAUUUUUUAGUCAGUAUUUGCAAAAUAUCACACCAAACUAGAUAAUCUUAAUCACCUUAUUCUUCGUGAGAGUUCGUGACUACGGUUUCCAAAUGGAACACCGAGAUCAAGCCUCUUGCUAAAGUAUCUAACAGUGGUUAUAGUGUGAACAUCACCCUGUAUGGUGAUAAAUCAAUCAAUGUGCUCAGUCGUAGUCGUUGUUACUGGGACUAAGAUUGUUAAGCCAAUGAAAGAGUAAGAGGCAUAGCCAAGGCACAACCUCACAGAGCUGUGUAUGACUACUCGAGAAUCUUCACUCACAUCAUGUAAAGCGUAACUCUCAAUUUAGAUAGAACUGAAAAUG